rnacentral:rRNA from 1 species
UACGUAGGGUGCGAGCGUUAAUCGGAAUUACUGGGCGUAAAGCGUGCGCAGGCGGUUUUGCAAGCCGGAUGUGAAAUCCCCGGGCUUAACCUGGGAAUGGCAUUUGGGACUGCAAGGCUGGAGUGCGGCAGAGGAGACUGGAAUUCCUGGUGUAGCGGUGAAAUGCGUAGAUAUCUGGAGGAACACCGGUGGCGAAGGCGGCAUCCUGGACCAACACUGACACUGAGGAGCGAAAGCCAGGGGAGCAAACGGG